GACGAACGCUGGCGGCGUGCUUAACACAUGCAAGUCGAACGGGCCUUGUCCCCUUUUUUUUUGGGGGUGGGGUUAGUGGCGAACGGGUGAGUAACACGUGAGUAACCUGCCCCUCACUUCUGGAUAACCGCUUGAAAGGGUGGCUAAUACGGGGUGUUCUGGCCUGCUCGCAUGGGUGGGUUUGGAAAGAUUCGACCGGUUUUGGUUGUUUUGGUGGGGGAUGGGCUCGCGGCCUAUCAGCUUGUUGGUGGGGUGAUGGCCUGCCAAGGCUUUGACGGGUAGCCGGCCUGAGAGGGUGGGCGGUCACACUGGGACAGAGACACGGCCCAGACUCCUACGGGAGGCAGCAGUGGGGAAUAUUGCACAAUGGGCGCAAGGCUGAUGCAGCGACGCCGCGUGAGGGAUGGAGGCCUUCGGGUUGUGAACCUCUUUCGCCAGUGAAGAAGGUCCUGCUCUUUGUGGUGGGGUUGACGGUAGCUGGGUUAAUGAAGCGCCGGCUAACUACGUG
rnacentral:rRNA from 1 species